AAUCAACGCUGGCGGCGUGCCUAACACAUGCAAGUCGAACGAGAAAGUGGAGCAAUCCAUGAGUACAGUGGCGACCGGGUGAGUAACACGUGACUAACCUACCCUCGAGUGGGGGAUAACUCCGGGAAACCGGGGCUAAUACCGCAUAACAUCGCGAGGUGACAUUCCUUGUGAUCAAAGGAGCAAUUCGCUUGAAGAGGGAGUCGCGUCUGAUUAGCUAGUUGGUGAGGUAACGGCCCACCAAGGCAAUGAUCAGUAGCCGGCCUGAGAGGGCGCACGGCCACACUGGAACUGAAACACGGUCCAGACUCCUACGGGAGGCAGCAGUGGGGAAUUUUGCGCAAUGGGGGAAACCCUGACGCAGCAACGCCGCGUGGAGGAUGAAGUCCUUUGGGAUGUAAACUCCUUUCGACCGGGAAGAUUAUGACGGUACCGGAGGAAGAAGCACCGGCUAACUCUGUGCCAGCCGCCGCCGUAAUAC
rnacentral:rRNA from 1 species